UAUUACCCACUUUAUCUUUUCGGAUCUAAUCAUCUUCUCCAGGGGGCUGAGCAUAGCGUCUGGUAAGACCUGAACCAACUUGCCGAUGUCUGUGUGGUCAUCAGCAGGGUCCAAUCCAUCUGGAAUGGAGAGCAUGCGAAUUCCACCAGGGAUUGCUCCUUUCUCUGCCAAGGCCUUGAGGACACGGUCGUGGUUGAACUCAGUGUUUACGAAGUCAAUCUUGAAGCCUUGAUCAGCAAGCCUAUGAGAUAACUCCAUGAGUGGGAUGACAUGGCCUUGUGCAGGGAACGGUAGCACCAUGACAUGAGGUUGAGUAGCAGCGGCCAUGGAAGUUGUCUUCUUAGAAUUGUCUAUGUCUACAAGAAGCUUGUGAGGUGUAAAACUGGAACUUCCUGAGGAUAUAUAUAGCCUGAUAUGUUCAACAGCUGUGUACGCCAAGGGUCACCUGGCCAUUCCUAUUUCAUCAGCAAACAUGAAUGGUGCAUCCUGCGAUGGAGCCAUACUGCCAUGAAGAUUAUUCACAUGACGUGGCAUCGACCUCGUUGAACAAUCUCGGCAAUUUUGAUUCGCCAUGAUACUCCAGACUGCCAGCUGAAAGGUGACAUUUUAGGUAAUUUACUAGGUAUAAAGUGGUCACAUUUGAGAGCGAGUGCAAAAAUCCCACCAGUUUUCUUUGGUGCUGCAUUUGUUCAGGUAAGUUAUUCACCUAUGCAUUACCCAAUUUGUUACUGCAAGAGGAGCAGUUUUAUCAUGGAAUAUGCUGCUGAGUCUAAAAUAUGCAUGUUGAUCU
rnacentral:sRNA from 1 species